rnacentral:rRNA from 1 species
UACGGAGGGUGCGAGCGUUGUCCGGAAUCAUUGGGCGUAAAGGGCGCGUAGGUGGCCCCUCAAGCGUGCGGUGAAAGUCAGGGGCUCAACCCCUGAUCGGCCGUGCGAACUGGGGAGCUUGAGCACUGUAGAGGCAGGCGGAAUUCCGGGUGUAGCGGUGGAAUGCGUAGAGAUCCGGAAGAACACCGGUGGCGAAGGCGGUUGCCUGGGGCUUUGCUGACGCUGAUGCGCGAAAGCGUGGGGAGCGAUCCGG